rnacentral:rRNA from 1 species
AGCAGACCGUGUGAGUACUGUUAGGGGAUCUGCCUGGUGGUGGGGUGAUAACCACUGGAAACGGGACUAAUACCGCAUACAGUCGCAAAAGCAAAGAGGGGAUCGUACGGGCCAUCUUCCCAUCGAAUAACCUCCGUUAGGAUUUAUUUUGUGGUGGGGUAAACGCCUCACAUAGGGAACAAUCGCAGGUGGUUUAGGAGGGAGAACCGGCCCACUGGGACUUGAACCCGGCUCCGACUCCUUCGGGAGGCCGCCGGUGGGAAUUUUUGCCCAUGGGGGCCAACCUGAUCCAGCACUGCCGGGGGGUAGAAGGAGGCCUGAGGGUUGUAAAGCUCUUUUCGUGGGGGAGGAGAAAAUAAAAGUUAUUGCCAUGGUUCUUGGCGUUACCCGCCGAAAAAACCCCGGCUAAAUUCGUUCCCGCCACCGGGGUAAUUCAGAGGGUGCAAGCCUUAAUUGGAAUGAAUGGGGGUAAAGGGCCUGUCGGUGGAUAGAUAAGUUAUGUGUGAAAUUUCCGGGCUUAACCUGGAGAGGUCAUUUAAUUCUGUCUGUCUAGAGUAGAGCAGAGGGAGGUAGAAAUUCCGGUGUAGCCGUGAAAUGCGUAGAGAUUGGAAGGAAUACCAGUGGCGAAGGCGGCUUCCUGGGCUCAUACUGACCGUGAGGCGCGAAAGCGUGGGUAGCCAACCGGAUUAGAUACCCUGGUAGUUCCCCCCCUAAACGAAGGGAACUAGACGCUUGUUUGUUUUUCAAGUGAGUGUCGAAGCAAACGC